AGAAGUGUGCCCGAGACAAAGGAUUAUUUUGAUGAAAUAAACACAGAGCGAUUAGCCCUCACUUCUA
rnacentral:tRNA from 1 species